AUCCUCGUGUGAUUCAUAAGCAUAACUGGGUGUUCACAUGCUGUGUGAAAUGGACCUCCCUCAAAUCUUACUAUGAGGUCAGUGCAUUAUUCCUCUGAUC